rnacentral:rRNA from 1 species
UGCGAAGGGGGCGAGCGUUGUUCGGAAUCACUGGGCGUAAAGAGUGCGUAGGCGGUUAUGAAAGUUAGGAGUGAAAGCCCAGGGCUCAACCUUGGAAUUGCAUUGAAUACUGGAGGACUAGAGUACCGGAGAGGAAACUGGAAUUUACGGUGUAGCAGUGAAAUGCGUAGAGAUCGUAAGGAAGACCAGUGGCGAAGGCGAGUUUCUGGACGGUAACUGACGCUGAGGCACGAAGGCCAGGGGAGCAAACGGG